rnacentral:rRNA from 1 species
UACGUAGGUGGCAAGCGUUGUCCGGAUUUACUGGGCGUAAAGGGCGUGCAGGCGGUUUGUUAAGUCUAGGGUGAAAGCUCCCGGCUCAACUGGGAGAGGUCCUUGGAUACUGGCGAACUUGAGGGAUGCAGAGGAAAGUGGAAUUCCCGGUGUAGUGGUGAUAUGCGUAGAUAUCGGGAGGAACACCAUUGGCGAAGGCGGCUUUCUGGGCAUUUCCUGACGCUGAGACGCGAAAGCGUGGGGAGCGAACCGG